UAGAUCAGAAGCGAGAAUGUUGACAUGAGUAGCGACAAACAGGGUGAGAAACCCUGUCGCCGAAAGUCCAAGGGUUCCUGCUUAAAGCUAAUCUGAGCAGGGUAAGCCGGCCCCUAAGGCGAGGCCGAAAGGCGUAGUCGAUGGGAACCAGGUUAAUAUUCCUGGGCCAGUGGGAUGUGACGGAUCGCAGAUGUAGUUUGCCCUUAUCGGAUUGGGUGGGCUGCUGAGCGGUUCCAGGAAAUAGCCCCACAUCAGACCGUACCCUAAACCGACACAGGUGGACUGGUAGAGUAUACCAAGGCGCUUGAGAGAACCACGUUAAAGGAACUCGGCAAAAUGCCUCCGUAAGUUCGCGAGAAGGAGGCCCCAUAUGUACGCAAGUAUGUGUGGGGGGCACAAACUAGGGGGUGGCGACUGUUUACUUAAAACACAGGGCUGUGCGAAGCCGUAAGGCGACGUAUACAGUCUGACGCCUGCCCGGUGCUGGAAGAUUAAGAGGAGGGGUGCAAGCUCUGAAUUGAAGUCCCAGUAAACGGCGGCCGUAACAAUAACGGUCCUAAGGUAGCGAAAUUCCUUGUCGGGUAAGUUCCGACCUGCACGAAUGGCGUAACGAUCUCCCCGCUGUCUCUAACGUGGACUCAGCGAAAUUGAACUGUGUGUCAAGAUGCACACUACCCGCGGUUAGACGGAAAGACCCCAUGAACCUUUACUCCAGCUUUGCACUGGUAUCAGGAUUGUGAUGUGCAGGAUAGGUGGUAGGCAUUGAAGCGGGGACGCCAGUCUUCGUGGAGCCUCCCUUGAGAUACCACCCUUCGCCAUCUUGAUAUCUAACCGCGGCCCGUUAUCCGGGUCCGGGACCCUGCAUGGUGGGGAGUUUGACUGGGGCGGUCGCCUCCCAAACAGUAACGGAGGCGCGCGAUGGUUGGCUCAGACCGGUCGGAAAUCGGUCGUUGAGUGCAAUGGCAGAAGCCAGCCUGACUGCAAGACUGACAAGUCGAGCAGAGACGAAAGUCGGUCAUAGUGAUCCGGUGGUCCCAAGUGGGAGGGCCAUCGCUCAACGGAUAAAAGGUACUCUGGGGAUAACAGGCUGAUGAUGCCCAAGAGUCCAUAUCGACGGCAUCGUUUGGCACCUCGAUGUCGGCUCAUCUCAUCCUGGGGCUGGAGCAGGUCCCAAGGGUAUGGCUGUUCGCCAUUUAAAGAGGUACGUGAGCUGGGUUUAGAACGUCGUGAGACAGUUCGGUCCCUAUCGGCCGUGGGUGCAGGAGACUUGAGAAGAGUUGACCCUAGUACGAGAGGACCGGGUUGAACGAACCACUAGUGGACCAGUUAUCGUGCCAACGGUAGUGCUGGGUAGCUAUGUUCGGACAGGAUAACCGCUGAAGGCAUCUAAGCGGGAAGCCCCCUUCAAAACAAGGUCUCCCUUGAGGGCCGUGGAAGACGACCACGUCGAUAGGCCAGAGGUGUAAGUGCAGCAAUGCAUUCAGCUGACUGGUACUAAUUGCCCUAAAAAA
rnacentral:rRNA from 1 species